UUUAUGUUUGCUUUACAUAGCCACAUCCCAUUGUUUUUUAGCAAGAUAUCAUUCGUUCAAACAACAGUUACGCUUAUUUACAGUUGCCAACUGUAAAUAAAUGUCGGCGUAUCAUUAACAAAUAUCACAUUAUCCGCGCUGUUUCGGAAGGAACAAACUUCAGCCUCACGAUGACUCUUUACUUUACUGCUGUACUACUGAGUCUCGCUUGUUUGUCGCAAGUUGCACUCGGGAGUGUGAUCGUAUGCGAGAAUUCGUCCCUCUACUUGUCUUGCCCCUUCUAUCAGAGGAUUUAUGUUGGUACGGCGAAUUAUGGUCGCACGAGGGGGAAAAUUAUCUGCGAUUCAAAGUGGACUCCGAACUACAGAGUAUACUGCAGGUCCGCAACCUCCACCAGCAUUGUCCGGAGAAUGUGCAACGGCAAGACCUUGUGCAAUGUCCCAGCCACCAACCGCGUGUUUGGAGACCCAUGCAUUGGUAUCUUCAAAUAUCUGGAGGUCCAAUACGCAUGCUUUUAAACGUGUUCUACUAUUACAUUUUAAUGGGCUACUUUAUUGUAUUGUACUUAUCUUUGUCCUCUUAAGUUAAUAAAACUUGUGAAACGGAAGGACAUGCGCAAGGUCCCAGCCACCAACAGUGUAUUUGACGACCCAUGCGUGGGUAUCUUUAAAUAUCUGGAGGUCCAAUACACAUGCUUUUGAACAUUUACUCCUGAUAGCGUUUAAUUAGCUUAUUAUUGUAUAUAUAAUUAUCUUUGUUCUAUUAUGUUAAUAAAACAUGUGCAACGGACAGAACUUGUGCGAGGUCUCGAUCAGAAGCAUCGAUUUAGAGACCCGUACCUCUUUAUGCAUACAUAUCUGGUGGUAGAAUACUCAUGCUUUUAAACUUUUGCCCCUGAUGCAUUUGUAAGAGCUAAUUAAUGUAUAUUGUAGUUAUCUUUUUCUCUAUUGUGUUAAUAAAAUGUGCAUCGGAAAUAACUUGUGCAAUGUAUCCGCCAAUAACUUCGUGUUUGGAGAGAUGUAAGUCUAUAUAUUCACAAAUAUCAUACUGUUAGAUAACUUUUAAUGUUCGAAUUAAUGAUAACACCUUGUUUAAGUUUCUUUUCUGACAACAAUGUGCAAAUUACUUCUUUAUGUUCUAAUUUGUUUAUAAACGCUGUUAACCAUGUAGAACACGUAAAACUGAAUAAUAAGAAGCAUUCAA